rnacentral:lncRNA from 12 species
CUGGGUGGCACAGCGGUUUGGUGCCUGCCUUUGGCCCAGGGCGCUAUCCUGGAGACCCGGGAUCGAAUCCCACAUCGGGCUCCCGGUGCAUGGAGCCUGCUUCUCCCUCUGCCUAUGUCUCUGCCUCUCUCUCUCUCUCUCUCUCUCUGUGUGUGUGACUAUAAUAAAUUAAAAAAAAAAAAAAGCAGUACGGUUGUCUGAAGGGCUGGAGGGGCUGUAAAAGUGAAGGGGAAUCCUGAAUGACUCCCGAGGCUCUGGCUUGAGAAAUGGGAAGGCUGACGUUACCGCAGACUGAGGAGAAAACCAAUGGACGGGCCGGGGCUGGGGUGGGGGGUCCCCGGGGAGUUCAGGCUGAACCUGUUAACGCCCAGGAGGUGAAUUAGGCAGUGGGACGGGUGGCCCCGCGUCAGGGCAGAGGUCCUCCUGUGGUCCCGGCGGAGGCCUGGGUGGAGGUCCUGGGCAGAGGCCUCAGUGUCCUCAGUGCAUGGGAAUAUUAAACCCGAAAGCACGUACUGUCAUCACCAAAGUGAAUAAUAACUGAAACGUGUAGGCGCUGCCACUCGGCUGCGGUCCCAGCUCCGCAGCAGCACCGCCCGGGAGCUUGGCGGACAAGCAGACUCUUGGGCAGCCCAUCCCCUGGGGCCAGAAACGGGCGGGCGGGUGCGGGUCCUUCGGGUCCCUCGGCACCAGGCGGGCUGGCGUCUCCUUGUCUGGAACUGCUGAAAACCAGUGGCUUAGGAACCGUGGAGGUAAGAGAGGUCUGCUCAGAACCCCGUAGAAGGCCAGAGGGACGCGGAGGCUGCAGCGUGCUGGAAACCAGCCCGUGGUGCCCGGUGCCCCGGACCAUGCCAGAGCCACGUGCUCCUGGCCUCCGCCGGCCUCGAACAGAUGCUGAGGUUCCAUCCAGAUGCAGCAGCCGUGUUGGCGGCGCACGCUCGCCGCUGUGCCCGGGACGGAGACAGAGCCAGAAAGCGCCAGGAGUGUGCGAGAGCCCCCGCCCCACACCCAGCGGUUUGAACGUGUUUUCCUCUAGCACCGGGCCUUACAAGGCUACCCAAGGGGGAGCAGGUGAGGGGCUGAGACCCGCGUCUGGACCCCCCUAGGUUGCCAGGGGUAACAGCCCCCCAGGCACGUUGGUGGGGCCCUUGCAUCUCCGGGCGGGCGCGCGGGGCGGUUUGGAACAGAAACUCGGAACUUGCAGCCGCAGAGGAAGCCGCUGUGGAGUUGGUUGGUCACGGAGAUUCCCAAGCUCCAGGUCGUGGCCAAAGAACCAGGAUCUUUAGUCCGUGCCCCCACUACGUGAUUCCAGUAAAGAUGUUCCCAGGCCACAUGUUGGGAAGCAAGUGGUGGGGCCUCUUGGGCGGCCCUUUACGAGGCCAGAGGCAGGGGCCCUGGGUUUGGGUCCAGCCACCAGGCUGGUGGCCUCCUGUAGUUGGCUCCCAAGCUCCGGGCCCCACCUAGGCUCAUUCCUGGAUAGCCAGCUCAGGUGCCGGUGCCUUCUUUACCGCCCACUCCUUUCCCGGUAACAGGGAGUGGCUUGUGGGCCAUUCUGGACAACAGGUGUCCACAAGCCCUCUCGAAACAGGUGCCUGGAAGCCCAUGUAAGGAGUCUAAGUUCUGGGCUUGCUUUUGCAACUUGGGAGGCGCGGACUGCUCGGGGUCACACGAGUCCAGAAUUGCCCAUUGACCGCUUUGCUUAUUGUUCCUCGCGUGUUAGGCCUCCCGGGGAAACUACGACUUUUUGGGAGGAGGUCACCAUAUUAUUUUUUCCUCUGACUUACCCCCCACCAUCGACUACGUAACUGGUGUUCAAUAUGGAAUGGGACUUCCCAAUGUACAGUCGGGCUGCUUCCAAAGGUCCAUUCUGAAGGCACUCAUUUGGAUCUUGUUUCUCAUUAGGACAAUGUCAUAAAAGGUAAUUAUGUUCCCAGGGCAGCUCCUAAAUACCUAUUUAACCAGCAGUGUAGCUGAACGCUAGUUCUAAUAGUAUCUAAAAUCACGUAUAAUACUGCUUUUUUAUGGGAAAAUCU